rnacentral:rRNA from 1 species
AGGGUUUGAUCAUGGCUCAGAACGUACGCUGGCGGCACGCCUAACACAUGCAAGUCGAGCGGGGUAGCAAUACCUAGCGGCAGACGGGUGCGUAACAUGUGGGAAUCUGCCUUUUGGUUCGGAAUAACACGGGGAAACCUGUGCUAAUACCGGAUAAGUCCUUACGGAGAAAGUUUUAAUGCCAAAAGAUGAGCCCGCAUUUGAUUAGUUAGUUGGUAGGGUAAUGGCCUACCAAGACUGUGAUCAAUAGCUGAUUUGAGAGGAUGAUCAGCCACAUUGGGACUGAGACACGGCCCAAACUCCUACGGGAGGCAGCAGUGGGGAAUCUUGCACAAUGGAGGAAACUCUGAUGCAGCGAUGCCGCGUGAGUGAAGAAGGCCCUUGGGUUGUAAAGCUCUUUCGUCGGGGAAGAAAAUGACUGUACCCGAAUAAGAAGGUCCGGCUAACUUCGUGCCAGCAGCCGCGGUAAUACGAAGGGACCUAGCGUAGUUCGGAAUUACUGGGCUUAAAGAGUUCGUAGGUGGUUGAAAAAGUUGGUGGUGAAAUCCCAGAGCUUAACUCUGGAACUGCCAUCAAAACUUUUCAGCUAGAGUAUGAUAGAGGAAAGCAGAAUUUCUAGUGUAGAGGUGAAAUUCGUAGAUAUUAGAAAGAAUACCAAUUGCGAAGGCAGCUUUCUGGAUCAUUACUGACACUGAGGAACGAAAGCAUGGGUAGCGAAGAGGAUUAGAUACCCUCGUAGUCCAUGCCGUAAACGAUGUGUGUUAGACGUUGGAAAUUUAUUUUCAGUGUCGCAGCGAAAGCGAUAAACACACCGCCUGGGGAGUACGACCGCAAGGUUAAAACUCAAAUGAAUUGACGGGGACCCGCACAAGUAGUGGAGCAUGUGGUUUAAUUCGAAGAUACGCGCAGAACCUUACCAACACUUGACAUGUUCGUCGCGACUCUAAGAGAUUAGAGUUUUCGGUUCGGCCGGACGAAACACAGGUGCUGCAUGGCUGUCGUCAGCUCGUGUCGUGAGAUGUUGGGUUAAGUCCCGCAACGAGCGCAACCCUCACUUUUAGUUGCCAUCAUUAAGUUGGGCACUCUGAAAGAACUGCCAGUGAUAAGCUGGAGGAAGGUGGGGAUGACGUCAAGUCCUCAUGGCCCUUACGUGUUGGGCUACACACGUGCUACAAUGGUAUCUACAACAGGAAGCAAAACUGCGAAGUUAAGCAAAUCCCUAAAAGAUACCUCAGUUCGGAUUGCACUCUGCAACUCGAGUGCAUGAAGCUGGAAUUACUAGUAAUCGUGGAUCAGCGUGCCACGGUGAAUGCGUUCCCGGGUCUUGUACACACCGCCCGUCACACCAUGGGAGUUGGUUCUACCUUAAGGCAAGGUUUCAAACCCUUGACCACGGUAUAGUCAGCGACUGGGGUGAAGUCAUAACAAGGUAGCCGUA